CCAGUAGAGAUGGCGAUAAAGCAGAGCUACUAGCCUUGAGUGUGUUUAAGCUUCAUGCAUGUCAGUGUUCUUGGUGGAGAUUAAGAGCUCAUCAAAUCCAAGGAGUCUUUCCAAUCUUAUUAUUGAUAGGACCAAACAAGAGGGAUCUCAGUGAUACUGAGGACCAAACAAGAAGGAUCAGAUAGCCCCAGGCUCAAGGAAUGGCUCA